UUCAAGUAACCCAGGAUAGGCUGUGCAGGUCCCGAGGGCCUAUUCUUGGUUACUUGCACA
rnacentral:pre_miRNA from 2 species